rnacentral:rRNA from 1 species
UACAGAGGUGGCAAGCGUUGUUCGGAAUUACUGGGCGUAAAGGGCGCGUAGGCGGUCCCGUCAGUCCCUUGUGAAAUCCCCCGGCUCAACUGGGGAACUGCAAGGGAUACUGCGGGGCUUGAGUUCGGGAGAGGGAAGCGGAAUUCCGGGUGUAGCGGUGAAAUGCGUAGAUAUCCGGAGGAACACCGGUGGCGAAGGCGGCUUCCUGGACCGAUACUGACGCUGAGGCGCGAAAGCUAGGGGAGCAAACGGG